rnacentral:rRNA from 1 species
UUACCUUGUUGCUGACUUCACUAAGUCAUAGAUCCUACCGUGGUAAUGUUUACUCAUGCGGGUUAGGCUAACUACUUCUGGUAAAACCCACUCCCAUGGUGUGACGGGCGGUGUGUACAAGAUCAGGAACGUAUUCACCGCGACAUGCUGAUCCACGAUUACUAGCGACGAUUCCGACUUCGCGCAGUCGAGUCGCAGACGCGAUCGGACUCUGAUCAGGUUCUGGAUGGCUCCCCCUCGCGGGUUGGCGACCCUCUGUCCCGACCAUUGUAUGACGACGUGAAGCCCUACCCGCAAGACCCAUGAGGACUUGACGUCAUCUACCACACUUCCUCGGUUUCACCAACAGUCUCGAUAGAAAUUGCCAACUUUCGUAGCAACUAAUGACAGGGUUGCGCUCGUUGCAGGACUUAACCCAACAUCUCGACACGAGCUGACGACAGCCAUGCAGCACCUGUGUUCCGGUUCUCUUAUUGCAGGCGCAUCUAAAAUCUCUUCGGGAUUUGAACGUAAAAAGGGUGGUGGAAGGUUUUCGCAUUUGGCAUCAGAUUAAUCCCAUGUCUUCCCUUGUGCUUGGGUCCCCGUCAAUUCCUUUGAGUUUUUAAUCUUGCGACCGUACUCCCAGGCGGUCAACUUCACCGUUAGCUGCGCUACCAAGGCCCGAAGGCCCUAACAGCUAGUUGACAUCGUUUAGGCGGCGGGCUAAAGUCAUCUAAUCUGUUUGCUCCCACGCUUUCGUGCUGAGCGUCGGUAUCACGAGGCUGCUUCGCCAUCCGGUGUUCCUCCGCAUAUCUACGCAUUCCACUGCUACACACACAAUUCCACCUCCCUCUGACACACUCUAGCUCGGUAGUUAAAAAUGCAGUUCAAAGUUAAGCUCUGGGUUUCACAUCUUUCUUUCGAACCGCCUGCGCACGCUUUACGCCCGAUCAAUUCCGAUUAACGCUUGCACCCUACGUAUUACCGCGGCUGCUGCCCAUGUACGUGGUUGUUUGAUCGCUUAUUCUGCAGGACCGCAAUCGAUUGCACGGGGUAUUAUCCCGUGCCGUUUCUUUCCUGCCAAAGGUGCUUUACAACCCGAAAGCCUUCAUCGCGUGGACCUGGCUGGAUCAGGAGUUUCCCCCAUUGUCCAUUCCCCCUGCUGCUCCAUGCGGGAUCUGGGUGAUGUCUCAGUCCCGAGUGUGGCUGGGUCGUCCUCUCGACCAGCUACCUGGAUCGUCGCCUUGGUUGAGCUGUUACCCCCUGUAGCUAAUCAAUUAUCUGGCCGCUCUAAUAGUGCGAGGCCCGAAAGGUCCCCGCUCCCCCGAAGGCAUUAUGCGGUAUUAUUUCACCGCUUUCAGCAAUAGUUAUUACCUUUACUAGGCGCUGUUCAGACCACAUUACUCUUCGUUCUUCCACUCGCCACCAGACCGAAGUCGUGCUGCCGUUCACGACUUGCAUAAAGCAUCCCGCCAGCGUUCAAUCGACCAGGACCGA